UGUGGCCUACCCUGGAGAGACACAUCUCACUUUCAUUGCCUGAACUGUUUUUCAGCCAUUGACAGAAGGGACAGGUUUGUUAAUCAUUUGGUUAACCAGGCAAUGACUUUCAAUAUGGUGUCCAGCUGUGCAUCAGCCCAGCCACCUGUCCAGCCAGCAGCUACCAACAGGAAACAGGAAACAGUCAUGUAGUCAACACCUGGUUUCCACCUCUUUCCCUUGACCCAGCACUACACCUACCAGUACAUAUUUUUGCUUUGGAUGUCAGAUUCACCACAAUAUAUUAAUUUUGUGAUUUAAUUGGAAGCUGCAGGCACAAGAUCUGGACUGGGUUCUGAUUCCUGUAUGGCGUCCUGGACAUUGGACACUAUGCAGAAGUCUGUCUUCAGAUGUCAUCUGGACCAUGGACAGAAUUUGUUGGCAAUGAUGUUAAGGGAUUGCCUAAACAAGGACUGUCCAACAACUGUUGUCAAGAAAAUCCGAGCUCAUCCCACUUCCCCAUGCUGGAGAUUUUAGUUUAAC